UCUCCACGGGGAAGACGUCCCCCAGGCCGUACAGCAGAACCUUGGCCAGAGCCGGGACCAGCUGAGUGGUGGUGACCAGCACGUUCAUGCACUUCCCCCUGCAGGUGGACGUCACACAGACACACACGGCCUCAUUUAGAAGGAAAUCCUGCUCUGUGGUUCUGUGGUUCUGACCUGGACUGGAUCAUCAGCAGAGACUUGAGCGCCGUGCUGAGCCAGGCGUCUGUGACGUUCUCAAUCUGAGACUGAAGUGACGUCAGCCCGUCCCUCUUCACAGGACUCAGCAGACCUGGAGGACGACGACAGUAAGAACAGAAAACACUGACUGAUUGGUUGGUUGGUUUCCACCUCCGCGGUGAGCGUCACCACGGUCUGACUUUACCUCCAGGUCGUUGAAGAACAGAUGAGUGUCUGCCAGCUCAAAGAUCAGCUCCUCCAUCUGCAGCCCCAUCUUCAGCACCG